rnacentral:rRNA from 1 species
UACGUAGGGGGCAAGCGUUAUCCGGAUUCACUGGGCGUAAAGGGAGCGCAGGCGGCAGUGCAAGUCUGGAGUGAAAGCCCGGGGCCCAACCCCGGAACUGCUCUGGAAACUGUGCGGCUAGAGUACUGGAGGGGCAGGCGGAAUUCCUAGUGUAGCGGUGAAAUGCGUAGAUAUUAGGAGGAACACCAGUGGCGAAGGCGGCCUGCUGGACAGUAACUGACGUUGAGGCUCGAAAGCGUGGGGAGCAAACAGG